rnacentral:lncRNA from 1 species
AAGGAUGCAGACUAUGAAGCACACCAACUUGUAUGAAACUCACAUGAUGAUUAAAUUAAAUAGGAAAGACAAAGAAAGGUGUUUCCAGGAUAGAGAAUACUGCUUAAAGAGGCCAAUCAUGUAAACAGGAGUGCAUCUGCAUCUAAACUUGCUGUAAACUAUGAUGAUGAGAUGAGAUCUAUGCAAUUAAGGAGACCUUCCAUAUCAGCUACCACUAGAUUGUAAAUCAAUGAAGUUUUGGAUUGGAAUAAUCAACCAAUUGCAAGAGUGCUUGAUCUUUUUAUUACUGUUAAAGCAUGUCAUGAAUUCAUCCAAAAUAGUGAACUUGAU